AAGCAUACUUGAUAGGGCAGGUACCUUUAUCACAAAGAUAGCUUCCCAAGGGUGAGGCUUAUCUAUUGUUAUUGCGGAAUGCUGACUUUUGGGAUUUCCCCCAAAAGAUGGAAAAGUCAAUUGCAUAACUUGUGGCAGGUUCUCAUUGCUGGUAGAAA
rnacentral:snRNA from 1 species